AAGCAAAGUCUUCUAAUUCUAAUGACAUUCAUAUUUUCUAUUGAAGGUUGGCAAAUAACAAUAAGAAAUUUGUGUGCUUAUCAAAUCUCUUAAUUUGGAAUAAGGCAUCGAACAAGUUGAUGUGUU